UAAGACUUUGGGGGUCAGCUCCUGCCUGGUUCUGGAGACAACCCAGGAAACCACAGCAUCACCUGUGGAUUUAAAUGACUCAAACUCCAGCAGCCGCCUCGAGUGCACGUUUUAUUCUCACUCAUCCCUUCUCUGUGCUUGCAGGUUAGGGGCAGUCUGUGGUCUCAGGCCAGCAGCUCUGUGUGUCUGCUCCUGCCAGCAGCUCUCCACUACCCACAGUACUCAGGGCUGUGCAUCAUGUGCAUCACGGCUCCUGCUCACAUCCCGUCUAAAAUGACAGCUGCCUCAUCAGGAACAAGAAGAUCAGGCUCUCAGUAGCUCUCCCUGGCAGACACCAGGCACUCGGCACCACCACUUUCCAGAGCCCAGAACACAGACCAUGCUGAGGGCAGGUAGCAGAGCUGUUGGUCACUAGAGUGAUCCCGAUGCCCAGCUUCACUCUGGAUACCUCCUACACCGUGGAAGAAAAGCCAGGCCACUUCUUCCAGGCUCCACAUGCCAGCUGGCACACCCCUGAUGCCAGCAAAGGGACAGGUGCCGUGCUCCGGCAGGGUUCUGUUGACAUACACACCCCUUCUCUCCCCUGCUCACAGAAUCACCACUGUGUGUGCAUCCGAAACGUCGGGGGAUUCCCUGCACUGACAAUAAAAAUGAUAAUGACAAUUGUCAUUAUUGAGGAGAAGGUAGGCACUUGGACCCUUUCUCUAGGAUGCCACAGAAAGCACUUUAAGGAACAGCCUCAGCUUAGCAGCUGUGGUAUCCUUCAUCCAGACUUGGCCACAAAGGAGAUGAUGCCCAGCCUCUGGCUUGGGGUAGGAAAAGUAUGGGCUCCUCUGGUUGCCACCUGCGUAGCUGCUGAAUGCACCUUCUCUACAUGUGACUGACAUUGAAGCUACAAUCAGAGUUCUUUCCAGCUGUGCUGCUCUGGGCCCCUGGGACUCCUGGUGGUAAGGAAGUAGACUUCCUUGUGAAUGGGUCCUCCUAUUAUGACCCUCCACUGUGUGAUCUCGAUGCCCAGGGGUACAGGAAGCCCAGCUGUGCUCACCUGGAGUGUGGUCAACACAGGACCCCCGAUAGGAAAGGGCUUUUUCACUGCAGGAGACAGGCUGCCCUUUAUAUUUGCAAGCUGCAGGGUAAAGCUUGACUCACCUGCCUGUGCUCUUCACCAAUCCCGGCAGAGCAUGGUACUUGUAAGCAUGUGUUUUUGGUGACAGACUGCCUGGGCCAUGAGCUGCAUGCCCCUGGGUAAGUUAUACAAACUCUGUGGGCCCUAAGUUUCGUGUCUGUAAAUGGGGGCGAUAAUACUACCUCUCCACAGGGCUGCUCUGGUGACUGAACGAGUGAGAAGGGUGCCAUUGCCUGAACAUGGCCAGCGUUCAGAGGUGUCCUGCCGUCUCAUCACCUUCUCCACCCUCCUACAGGCCUUUCAGAAGCCACCCACCAUCUGCCUCUUCCCAUGAGAACUGUGGAUAAGAGUGUAAAGACUCGCAAACGGCAGAAACACAAGUUCUAAGACCCCGUGUUGGCAUAUGCCAUGGAGAGGCACCGCAGCGCUGUGGGACAGCCAGUGGAGGACCCCUGGGAGUAGGAAGCCACUGUGAUUUAGUGGAAAGAAACAGAAUGUCACGCUCAAGUUAAAAGGGUCCAGGACCCUCAUCCACCUCUCGCCACAGUGGAAACGUUGCCAAGAGGCUGAGCCCCAGAGGGAGAGGUCUGUGGUGAUGCUGGGCCAGUGGCUUCCAGGGAGAGGGAGGCUUCUGAGCUGUGCUUGGCAUGUAGUGGAGAGCCACAGCCCAGGGCUUGUGGAGUGGAGGAGGUGGCCGUGGCACUGGGAGAAGCUACUGAGCUCCUGGACAUUUCUAGAACCUAAGUUCCCCAGCCUCUGCCAAUGGAGGCCCAGUUUGCUCUCUAGGAGAGGGCAGGGCAAACCUUCCCAAUGCACCCUCCCUCUGGCCAGGAAAUGCCCAGGGGCUAAAUGAGAAGGGCAGGCCCCUGUAGCCCUCCAGGAAAGGCAGGCAGUGAGCACAGGAAGGGAGGCCAGGCCUGCAAUUCCAGCCAUCACAGAUUAAUGGGAAAUGACUAGAAUUCGCCUUCUCGUGCCCAGGUAGGCACCGACUCUUCCCUUGCCGUGCAGAAUGCUGACCCCCGUCAUUUAUUCAUUUAUUUUCUUGCUCCUUAAAUGAGCUCUGUGAGCCACAGGAUGGGGGCUCUGUCUUACCAGGCUGGCACUCAGACCAUUGUCCAGUGCAUGAGAGGUGCCCGAGUUGGUUUUCCAUUCCUAUAACAAAUACCUGAGGCCGUCAACCCACAACAUGGGGAGAUUCACUUUGGCUCACAGUGUUGAAGGUUCCAGCUCACGGACACUUGGCCCUGUUGCUUUGGGGAGCGUGGAGAGACCGCACAUCAUGGUGGGGAGCAUGUAGAGAUUGGGCUGUCCACCCCGCGGUGGGAAGUGAAAGUGGAAACAGGAAGAGAACAGGGUCCCACAACCCCUCUGAGGGCAGGUCCCAGGGGCCUAUGGCCUCCCACAAGCUCCACCUCCUAAAAGCUCCACCAUUUCCCAAUGUCACUGAGCCGGGGACCCAGCCUUGACACAUCGGUCUUUGUGGGACACACCAGAUCCAAACUACGGUGCUCAACAGAUAUUGAACAGGUAACAAAAUGAGAACCAUAACUGGUAGUGAGAAGCCUGGCUUAGAGUUCAGAUGUUUUCAGGAGGGAGGGAGAGAAGGGGGAAUGUGCCCCUAAGCCAGGUUCCACGCAGCCAAGGGCUGCAGUCAGUUGGUGACACAGGUCCAGUGGCAGGAAUGCUGAGUUUCGUGCUGUGACUAGACAAUGUGGUCCCUCCAGUCCUCAGGCACAAGGCUUGGUUCUUUAAGUGGACCUCACUGGGAAGGGAUAAGACAAUAUGACCCAUUUCAUUCCCCUCCCUUAAUCCACAAUGCAUCGUGUCCUGUAGCAAUGGACCCCGCCUCGUCCACAGUCAAAGUGGACGCGUAGACCACAGUGGUCAUUCAGCCUUGCUCUCUGCAGCCUGAACACUUGGAAUUUCAAAGCAGCUGCUGCUAUAGAAUUUUCUAGAAGUCCACGUUGGCUGGAGUGGGUUGUGCCCCUGGCUCCUUGUGCAUCAAUGCUAACGGCAGGGUGCCGGCCGCUGGGCUGCCACUCACCUCAGGUCUUGCCUGUCUGCCUUUUGGGAGUGUUGGAGAGCCAGCCUCACACUAGUGUUCAAUUAAGUGAAAUUAGAUUUUGCAAGAUGGAAGUUUCUUCCCCUUGCUCCAUCCAGGAAGAAUCGAUCUAAUUAUCACGUCCAUGCUCCCAGGACUCUUGUUUAAAUCUCUCCUCCCUGUUUCAGUUGAACGCAUUGGUGCUGCAGAUGUGUCUUUAGUUAAUGGAGGUUGGAGCGGUUUGCAAGUCCUGCUGGGGGUGAGCCACAUGUGCGACGACCCCAGAGUGGGUGUGCCUCUUGCUUUUCCUGCUUGAUCAGGCCCAACCCAGUCGGCCAGCCACUCCUUAGGGACCUAAGCCCUCUUGGGGUGCUGGUUCCCACCCUCUGCUCCUAUGCAAAGACCACCAAGGCACUGGGGACUCACGGCACCAGGAAAGUUGAGCUCCUUUCCCACCUGUGGCUGGCUGGAGGACGGGGUGGUAGAGGGUGGGAGCCUGCAGGAAGGUACCUGAAAGGCCUCUUUCUAGCUGAGUGGCAGUAGGCUCUGCCCAUCCUGGUUCUGAUCUCCACGAUGGGAGAUGAGCUCGUUCUACUGUCUGCAGGGCAGUCUCUCCCCAGUGUGCCCUUCCCCCAGGCAGCCAUCUCAUGGCCUCUCAAUCAGCCACGGCCCUUUAUUUCCUGUAAUUCUGGUGCUUUGACAUCUUGGGGUUUGCUGCCUCAGAAGGGACUACACUUCCCAGGGCAGGCCAUCCCUAGAGGGAGUGAGAAGUAUGCAGGAACCUCUCCAUGAGCGUCCAUCCGACCUGCCUGAGCGUGUGUGGCUCUCACUCUGUCUCUUCCUUCAUCACUCAGGGACAGACCCUAGAGAACUUGGGACAGCACUCGACCCCCCAGUCCAAUGGAGUUAUCCAAAUCAGCCAUUCCAAACUUAAGGGCCCAGCCACAUCCACUCCUCCUCAAGACCCACUGCGAAAGGUCCUGCCCACAGUCCCCCCAGUUGCUGCUGUCGACUGAGCAGACCUGGAGCUUCCCCUGCAGCCCUGUGGCAGGGCAUGCCCACGCCUCUUGGGAACUGAGUGACCAACCAUCUUUCCAACAGCAGCCUCCUGGCCUGGUGACUUCACCGUACCUCAAUAACAACCACACUGCAUUUUAAAACAGCCUCCUGGCCCCCUCGGGGUAGAGGCCGCUCACUGCUCCUGGCUGGAGGAAAGCCAUCUUGUCUGGCCAGGGGCAGCAGGUGGCAGAGCUGAGCCCAAUCUACAUUCUCUCCCAGCUGGCCUCGAGGAGGAAGCCUUGCACUGACAGGAGCUCCUGUCCCAACUUUGGGGACCUCUGUCUCCUAAAUAGAAUUGAAAUAAACUAUGCAUCUUCAGAACCACGGAGAGGUAUUCCUGGGGCACACGCUGCGUGUGAGGAUAGAAAGUGGCUUGGAGGGUGACAAAAAGGAAUAUGCAUUUCCCAUUCGUUUCCAGAAACGUCUGUGAGAGUCCUGCAGUCCUGCCCUGCAGCCACAGCUGGUAGCUGUUGGAGCUAUUCCCGCCCUUGCUGGAUCAUGGCCCCCAUGCGAGCUGACAGUCCAGGGAAGCUCCUCAGAAUGGAGAUGCUGUGUGGAUAAAAGAGGAGAGAGUCCUAUGAAGGAAACUGAUCAUAUUGAAGUAUAAUUUAAAAAUAUUUUAAAACAAAUAUUAAUUUGUCAGUGAAGCACUUCUCUAUUAAUUCUUCAAUAACAUGAUAUGGCGGGGGGGUCUCAGAAACCACGGUGUUGCAGCUGUGAUGAGCCUGGAUAUAGAUGCUUCGCAAUUCCUGCUGCGGUUAUAACUUACCUGGAAAGAUCUGUGGUUUCCACUGCCCCGGGCACUGUUAAUACACUGGGGUUUGUCGCAUGUGGAGCCAGCCCUCUGUGCCCAUGGGUUCCAGACAGCAGUGAAAAUUUAAAACUCAUGUUCAUACUGAAAGCGCAGGCUUUUUUCUUUUGUCACUGUUCCCUAAGAAGUAAGCCUGACCAUCAUUUAUACGGCGUUUACGGUGUACUGAGUACUGUACAGACACCAGAGGUGAUUUGAAGUGUAUGGGAGGGUGUUUGUAGGUGACACAAACAUUACAACAUUUCAUAUAAAGGACUUGAGUCUCCGUGGGUUUUGAUAUCCGUCAGGGAAAGGUAUCCUGGAACCAGUUCCCCCCCCAUGCUGAGGGACCACGGCAUUCAUCACUGAAGGACACGCGGUAUUGCAAAUGAGGUCACCAAACAGAAGAUGUCAUUUCCUACCUAGUUCAAGCUUGCAAGUGCCCUGAAUCCUGCCCCACCUGUGGCCUGCAGGAGAUGCCUUCUACAGCUUUGAAAAUCAGCAGCCGCUGGGCGAGUCCUUCUCCCCAGCCAAGUGUGCCCAGGCCACAGGGGUCUGGCUAUGGCUCAGAGGCCUCCCUGAGCUGAGAAGUUAGGCCAACACACCAUGUCCUUGUUUGCAAGUGGCCCUCUCUGCCCUCUCACCCAGAGGGGAAAACCGGGUUCUUCCUUGGUAAGCAUGGGCACCGAGGUCCCAUCAACUCACCUGGGGUGGAGCAAGGCCAGCUCAGUGAACUCUGGCCAGAUUCACUGACUCUGUUCCACAGAAACGGGAAGCUGUGGCAGUUCUGGCCCCCUCUUUCCAGUGACAGGUGGAUCUUAUGAACCCUGGAGACCUCUCCAGGUACCAUGAUUUGAUUGUGUCAUCUCUGGGCAGGGCACAUGGCAGCUCGAACAUGACGAAUCACCUGUUUUGGUCACAGGGAGUUUUGGAUGUCCGUGGCUGUUUGGAUUGAGGUGUCCUCCAAGAGCUCGUGUGUGAGACACUGCAAGAAAAUUUAAAGGUGAAGUGAUUAUCUUAUCAGAGAUGCAACCUACCAGCACAUUGAUAGGGAUGACCUGAGUGGUAAUUAGGCAGGUAGGGUGUGGCUGCAGGAGGUGGGUUCCUUUGGGGUAUAUUUUGUCCCUGAUGAGCAGAGCUUAGUCUCUCUCUCUCUCUCUCUGCGUCCUUGUGCGUGUCCUGAGCCACUUUCCUCCACCACUUCCUUCUGCCUGAGGUUCUUCUGCGGCACCAUGGCCCAGAGCAGUGGAGUCACGUCUAUGCAGAGAAACCAAACCCCCCUCCACGUCGGCAUGUGGCAGCAGACUGCAGGGCUCUCACCUCAGCAGCUCCAAGUGUGGGCCUCUCCGUGAGCCCAGACUGCCCUGCUCUCUGCCCACGCUGUGUGCUGCAAGCCGAGUGGCAGGUGGCUGGGGUGAGACAUGUGAAGCUCACCAGGCAGAGGGUUUGCUGGUUUGCGGGGUGUGGGAAGCCAUUCUUGCACGUGAUUGGGCACCUCCCUGAUUGGGUGUGAGGCUUCUGGCUAAACUGUGUUGGAACUAAUCCCCACCCUCUUUAGGUGCGAGAGCCCAUCUGUGUGGGGGUGUGACUGACCAUUGACCCUGAGACCAAUCACUGACCCUGACCUUGGAAUGCUGUCCCCCUCGACCUUCAUUGAAUGGAAUUUUCCCCUGAAUUUCUUAUUCCCCAAUAAAAGGCCACUCCCUGGCGUGCUCUCUCUCUCUCUCCUGCUAGUCUGUGUAAACCUCCUUGCCCCACCAGGUGGCUCGAGGCAGGAGCCAGAGGGGGAGCCGUCUCAGACCUGGUCAAAGAAAAAGGUAAAUUGAGUUUUG
rnacentral:lncRNA from 1 species